CACGUAGGGGGCAAGCGUUGUCCGGAAUCAUUGGGCGUAAAGAGCUCGUAGGCGGCUCAGUAAGUCGGGUGUGAAACCCUCAGGCUCAACCUGGGGGACGCCACCCGAUACUGCUGUGGCUAGAGUCCAGUAGGGGAGUGUGGAAUUCCCGGUGUAGCGGUGAAAUGCGCAGAUAUCGGGAGGAACACCAGUGGCGAAGGCGACUACCUGGCCUGUUCUUGACGCUGAGGCGCGAAAGCUAGGGGAGCAAACGGG
rnacentral:rRNA from 1 species